rnacentral:rRNA from 1 species
GAUGAACGCUGGCGGCGUGCCUAAUACAUGCAAGUCGAGCGAACGGACGAGAAGCUUGCUUCUCUGAUGUUAGCGGCGGACGGGUGAGUAACACGUGGAUAACCUACCUAUAAGACUGGGAUAACUUCGGGAAACCGGAGCUAAUACCGGAUAAUAUUUUGAACCGCAUAGUUCAAAAGUGAAAGACGGUCUUGCUGUCACUUAUAGAUGGAUCCGCGCUGCAUUAGCUAGUUGGUAAGGUAACGGCUUACCAAGGCAACGAUGCAUAGCCGACCUGAGAGGGUGAUCGGCCACACUGGAACUGAGACACGGUCCAGACUCCUGCGGGAGGCAGCAGUAGGGAAUCUUCCGCAAUGGGCGAAAGCCUGACGGAGCAACGCCGCGUGAGUGAUGAAGGUCUUCGGAUCGUAAAACUCUGUUAUUAGGGAAGAACAUAUGUGUAAGUAACUGUGCACAUCUUGACGGUACCUAAUCAGAAAGCCACGGCUAACUACGUG